CGGGCUGGCCGACAGGCCCAGGUCCACCGUGGGCGGGGAAGUUCCCC
rnacentral:sRNA from 25 species